UACGAAGGGUGCAAACGUUGCUCGGAAUCAUUGGGCGUAAAGAGCUCGUAGGCGGUUUGUCACGUCUGCUGUGAAAUCCCGAGGCUCAACCUCGGGCCUGCAGUGGGUACGGGCAGACUGGAGUGCGGUAGGGGAGAAUGGAAUUCCUGGUGUAGCGGUGGAAUGCGCAGAUAUCAGGAGGAACACCGAUGGCGAAGGCAGUUCUCUGGGCCGUAACUGACGCUGAGGAGCGAAAGCGUGGGGAGCGAACAGG
rnacentral:rRNA from 1 species